AUCUCAUCUUCUCCCUAAAAUAUGGCGAUCAGCCGCAUAGAGAGAAGCCAUAGCCGAAUCAAAUGAGCUAAUAAUAGCCAACCCAGAGGAUAGAAACAGUCAAAAAUGUCAAUUUACCUGUAAAGAGAAACCUAAACUGGAUCAUCUUCUGCCUGUUUUAGAUAAAACAGACACUCGCUAUUUAUAUUUUUACAGCAUAAUGCAAC
rnacentral:lncRNA from 1 species